GGAUCCUCCCCAACUUCAGGAGAGUUUUUGGGUGGCUCUUGGAGACACUUUCUGUGUUUCCUCCACUCCUGUGACCUCCGUGACCUCCUUCCUCCUCCUGCUGUGCUGCUGUUGUAAUGCAGAGGAAAAAGAUGAGGUCCUCGCUUUGCCUCUCCCAUCCACUCUCAGUGCAUAGGAUGGGACACGACACUCAUGCCAAGUGGACCUACCUGAUUUACGCUGGUGGAGAUGUCACCCCUAUUGAAAGCACCGAGAAGUCAUCACCAAGAAUCACCAAGGUUGGAAAAGACCUCCAAGAUCAUCCAUUCCAACGGUAGAUCACCCGGUCCAACCAAUCAUCCAAGUCCCUUCUGGAUAGACACGGGAACAGUUACCCUCCUGCACCAGGCCAGCAUUCCUGCUCUGGACGGGCAGGUUCCUCCUUGCAGAACCCGUUGUUCACGUCUGGUCACCAGCACCCAUAGGCAGUGCGGGAACGUGGCCAAUUCUUGAUGGAAAAGAACCCCCACCGACCUGCCAACC